rnacentral:rRNA from 1 species
GACGAACGCUGGCGGCGUGCUUAACACAUGCAAGUCGAACGGAAAGGCCCUGCUUUUGUGGGGUGCUCGAGUGGCGAACGGGUGAGUAACACGUGAGUAACCUGCCCUUGACUUUGGGAUAACUUCAGGAAACUGGGGCUAAUACCGGAUAGGAGCUCCUGCUGCAUGGUGGGGGUUGGAAAGUUUCGGCGGUUGGGGAUGGACUCGCGGCUUAUCAGCUUGUUGGUGGGGUAGUGGCUUACCAAGGCUUUGACGGGUAGCCGGCCUGGGAGGGUGACCGGCCACAUUGGGACUGGGAUGCGGCCCAGACUCCUACGGGAGGCAGCAGUGGGGAAUAUUGCACAAUGGGCGGAAGCCUGAUGCAACAACGCCGCGUGCGGAAUAACGGCCUUCGGGUUAAAAACCGCUUUCACCUGUGACGAAGCGUGGGUGACGGAAAUGGGUAAAGAAGCACCGGCUGACUACGU